rnacentral:rRNA from 1 species
GAUCCUGGCUCAGGAUGAACGCUGGCGGCGUGCUUAACACAUGCAAGUCGAGCGAAGCACUUAGGAAAGAUUCUUCGGAUGAUUUCCUAUUUGACUGAGCGGCGGACGGGUGAGUAACGCGUGGGUAACCUGCCUCAUACAGGGGGAUAACAGUUAGAAAUGACUGCUAAUACCGCAUAAGACCACAGCACCGCAUGGUGCAGGUAAGUAAACCGUCGGUGU